AACGAGGCCGACCUGCGGCUGAGUUACCUGCGGAAGGAUCAUUAUAGAGUGGUAAACCCCCCGUAAAAAGGGGGGUACCUCCCGUCCUUUGCAGGCUCUUUUUUAAGGGGCUUUUUUGACUUUCUGCUUCGGUGGGGUUAUCCUACCGGAACAACCUCAAAACUCUGAUAAAAAAAAUAGUUCUGUCCGAGCGCUCUUUUAUAAUAAAAAAAACUUUUAACAACGGAUCUCAGAUCGGAA
rnacentral:misc_RNA from 1 species